rnacentral:rRNA from 3 species
UUUUCGUAGGUGAACCUGCGGAAGGAUCAUUA